CGCGUAGGCGGUCUCUAAAGUCAGAUGUGAAAGCCCGGGGCUUAACCCCGGAAGUGCAUUUGAAACUCAGGGACUUGAGUAUGGGAGAGGGAAGUGGAAUUCCUGGUGUAGCGGUGAAAUGCGUAGAUAUCAGGAGGAACACCAGUGGCGAAGGCGACUUCCUGGACCAAUACUGACGCUGAGGCGCGAAGGCGUGGGGAGCAAACAGGAUUUGAUACCCUGGUAGUCC
rnacentral:rRNA from 1 species